AUCCUCACCAUGAGAGCAUCUCUCUCACUCUCUUCUCCCCCAACCCUAGCUGGUUUCCUCUCCUCUUCUUCUUCCUCCAUUGCUAAGAUUGGAUCUUUAUGCAGGUGCAUGUUGGUCCAAGCAUGGAGAAGGUUGAGCUAUCCUCAGAUCUGAAGUUCUUGAGCAAAAUCCAAAUCGAGUGAUUCAAAGUUCCACAGAUAGGUAUUGAAAAGAUCUACAACUUGGCGUUGGUCUCAUCCUCAAAUUCGUUACGGAUUUUGCAUGAUCAAGAUCUGGUCAGAUCUGACUUUGUCGAAUUAAACCAGGAGCUUGGAAACGAAUUUUUGAAUGAAACCAAUUGGGGGAUAAUUUGUUUAUACCAUGGUGUUAACCGAGAGAGGCAAUUGCUAAGUUGUGAUGCACUCAUGCCUCUACUAGAUGCGAACAAUUCCGGAGAAGAAGAAGAAGAAGUGGAAUCGGACGAGGAUUUUAUUUAUAUAUGUUGUUGGAAUUCUUAUAUGGAUGGAGUUGAAGAAGUACAGGGACAAAUAA